rnacentral:SRP_RNA from 1 species
CCGUGCUAAGCGGGGAGAUAGCGGUGCCCUGUACUCGCAAUCCGCUCUAGCGAGGCUGAAUUCCUCCUUUGAGGUCUAACCCUUGAGGCCACUGCCCUUGGUCGGUGGUGUUGAGAGCCGGGUCCUACGCGGCGGAAACCUGUGAAUCCCGUCAGGUCCGGAAGGAAGCAGCGGUAAGCAGUGGCUUCCGGGUGCCGUAGGAGUGCCUGGCUUGAGCCAUCCCCAAACGGUAUGCUUUCGUGGGCGAUCGAACCGGAGGUGCACGG